rnacentral:rRNA from 1 species
CCUACGGGUGGCAGCAGUCGAGAAUCAUUCACAAUGGGGGAAACCCUGAUGGUGCGACGCCGCGUGGGGGAAUGAAGGUCUUCGGAUUGUAAACCCCUGUCAUGUGGGAGCAAAUGAAAAAGAUAGUACCACAAGAGGAAGAGACGGCUAACUCUGUGCCAGCAGCCGCGGUAAUACAGAGGUCUCAAGCGUUGUUCGGAAUCACUGGGCGUAAAGCGUGCGUAGGCUGUCUCGUAAGUCGUGUGUGAAAGGCGCGGGCUCAACCCGCGGACGGCACAUGAUACUGCGAGAAUAGAGGAAUGGAGGGGGAACCGGAAUUCUCGGUGUAGCAGUGAAAUGCGUAGAUAUCGAGAGGAACACUCGUGGCGAAGGCGGGUUCCUGGACAGUAACUGACGCUGAGGCACGAAGGCCAGGGGAGCGAAAGGGAUUAGAUACCCUGGUAGUC